AGAGUUUGAUCCUGGCUCAGGACGAACGCUGGCGGCGUGCCUAACACAUGCAAGUCGAGCGGAGAUGAUCUGAAGUUUACUUUGGGUCGUCUUAGCGGCGGACGGGUGAGUAACGCGUGGGCAACCUACCUUUAACUGGGGGAUAACACAGGGAAACUUGUGCUAAUACCGCAUAACACAGAAAGGUAGCAUUACCUUUUUGUCAAAGGAGCAAUCCGGUGAGAGAUGGGCCCACGUCCAAUUAGCUAGUUGGUGGUGUAACGGACCACCAAGGCGACGAUUGGUAGCCGAACUGAGAGGUUGAUCGGCCACAUUGGGACUGAGAUACGGCCCAGACUCCUACGGGAGGCAGCAGUGGGGAAUAUUGCGCAACGGGGGAAACCCUGACGCAGCAACGCCGCGUGAAGGAUGAAGGUUUUCGGAUCGUAAACUUCUUUGAUGGGGGACGAAACAAAUGACGGUACCCCAAAAACAAGCCACGGCUAACUACGUGCCAGCAGCCGCGGUAAUACGUAGGUGGCGAGCGUUGUCCGGAAUUACUGGGUGUAAAGGGCGUGUAGGCGGGAAUGCAAGUCAGAUGUGAAAUGCCGGGGCUUAACCUCGGAGCUGCAUCUGAAACUGUGUUUCUUGAGUGUCGGAGAGGAAAGUGGAAUUCCCAGUGUAGCGGUGAAAUGCGUAGAUAUUGGGAGGAACACCAGUGGCGAAGGCGACUUUCUGGACGAUAACUGACGCUGAGGCGCGAAAGCGUGGGGAGCAAACAGGAUUAGAUACCCUGGUAGUCCACGCCGUAAACGAUGGAUACUAGGUGUAGGAGGUAUCGACCCCUUCUGUGCCGUAGUUAACACAAUAAGUAUCCCACCUGGGGAGU
rnacentral:rRNA from 1 species